UGGACCUUAAAAAGCGUGGUUAGUUUAGGGACUCUUUUGAAUCUCGAGAGUCGAAAACAAUGCCCGCGAAAGUCGUCCUUCGCACUGGAAACUACUCGUCUGAAACUCCACUCAUCGCCGGAGCUGGUGAACGUGACCGGCGAAAAGCUUGGAAAAAAUGGGAGCUGCUUGUUAGGAAUUUGAGUCUGGUGACGGUAAACUUCUCAUUGAUCGGAUUUUACGUUGUCUUCAGGAGUUCGAAGCUGAAUCACCACAUAGGGUUCCACUCGAUAUGGCUUGCGGUCCUGCUUUUCAUCGUCCAUCUCGCUGUCACUGUAAUUCUCCGCAUGAGGCGACCCUUUCGCUCCCUCGGAUUUUUCUCCGGCGUGAUCCUCAAGUCCAUCACUGACCUUCUCACCGUGUUUUUCACCGGGUUAUUGACAUCUCAGGUAACUCGGUCAAGACCUCACUACUUCUCUCCUUCUCCUGGAGUCGAUUACUUUCUCUUCAACUGCACCGGUCCUUUAGGCGUUUCAUCCCUGGCUGAACUGAGCUCCACUGGGGAGCAAAUUUUAGUUCCAUCAUCCUUCCUCGCAACAUUGAACCCUAACGCUAACCCUAACCCUAACCUACUUGACUUGAUCUUAGCUGGGUGUAGCCAGCCGAUUUUAGUUCCACCAUCCUCUCUCCAAACAUUGAUCACUGAACCUAACCCUAACCCUAACCCUAACCCUAACCCUAACCCUAACCUACUUGACUGGCAGAUCGUUGUGGCACUGGCUCUAGUGGCUCUGUAUUCCCUGACCAUGGCCACCCUUCUCCGCCCCGGGCUGUCGUUUACCCUAACCCCUGUAUCACUCUAUAUCUCCUUCUUUUUCUUAUUUGCUCUCCACGCGGAUUCGGAGUUCCCCCGCUUUUAUUUUGGGCCUUUAUCCAUCUACUCCAUUCUCUUGAUUGGUAUCAAAAAUUAUAUUGAGUAUCGUGCCGACGAUGCUCCAGACACACAGACUCUGGCACAGAGAUGUGAGUUAACUUCUGUGCGAAGGACCGCGUUGCGCGCACAGAGACAGCUCCAAGCAUGAGCAUUAAUGGCUGGGAAAUGAUGAUUCCUCUCGCAUUUUUUGGGGUAACUAUAUAUGAAUGACCACCUCUUAUUAUCUUCUUUGGAAUCUAGAAAUUUUUUAUUAAUGAUCCAAUUCCAAUCAUAUACUAAAAAGAAAAUCGAAAUCUUCCAUACAAUUGUAAUCAGUCCAAUUGCACCCAUAUGCUAAAAAGAAAACUGAAAUCUGCUAUACAAUUAUAUGUUAUGCUUCAAACUGUGUUUGUAAAACAAAAGGUCUGAGAAAUGGUAACAUUUCAGAAAGUCAUCAUAAAUACUGAGAAGAGUCUUCACUUUGUAUGUAGAAAUUAGUGUAUAGCAUUCAAUGGUACUCUAGCCUAGGUUAUGCAUGUAUUUCCAGCAAGGUUGCAAUUAAGAUGGCAAAUACCCAUCAUCGUUGGUAGCACAGCUGCGAGGUUGCAACUAGGAUGCUUCAGAAAGUCAGCUGGUUUUGUCUGUGGUUAUGAUCAUUGAGACCAGUCCAAUGAGCCUGCUCGGUUUUGUAGGGGGUCACUCCCGAUUAUGUUGUACAUUGUUUAAUCAAACUACCCUAAGGUUUGAUUGACUUUACUCUCUAUACCCCUGCAGUCAAUUUCUUGUUACGCCAGUUAAAGUCAAGAAAAAAAAUUCACCAAAAUGCCAAAACUACCCUUGUUGGUAGCAGAACAUUGUUUGUUUCUCUCUCUCCUCUGUACAUGCCUCUUUCACUUUCCUCUCUCUUCCUCUACUUUUCUCUCUUUCUUUUCCCUCUCUAUGUAAUUAUUUACAUCAUUACAUCUUUCUGAAUAUAUUGGCAUCUUCACUCUAUAAUAUUAGCACCAAAUCUAACGCGCCAUAACACGCAUAUAUAUUUAUAAAUGUCAAAAACGAAUGAAAAUCAAAAAAAAAAAAAACUAUUUUAUCUCUGAAUAUAUCGCCAUCUUCACACGGUUGUAUAUAUAUAACAAAUGAAAAUCGAAAUAAUUUUUUUUGAUUUUUUUUUCUUUUCAAAUCCAUAGGUUUGAUUGACUUAGAACAAUCCUAUAUAAUUAUGUUUGAUAAUAUAUAUCAAUAUAUAUAUCACAACAUUUGGCCUGAUUCAACAACUCAGUGAAUCAUGGCAUUUGGCUUGACUCAACAAAUCAGUGGAUGAACCCACUAUCACAUCAUUUGGAUUGAUAUAACGAUGAUUCAAACCCAGUUUCACAAAAAAGAAGAUUCAACCCUAAUUUCACAAGAAGAAGAUUGAGACUGUUCUCACCAUCGCCGCCUUCUUCCCGACCACAACUCGAGAUCAAUCUCAAUGGCAGCCAAAAACCUUCUUGUCCUUUCACUGGUGAAGCAUGGUGGCGGCGCAAGGGCAUGUGUGUAUUUUCUUCUAUGUGUACUGGGGUGUAUGUAUGCACUUGUGCUGGUGUGUGUGCUGGUGGAGGUAGAUAGAGAGAGAUGGUGCGACUGUGGAAACUGGAGGGGGGUGGAGAGAGAUGAAUAAUAUUAAAUUGUAUUAAAUUUGAAAGUAUUUUAGUAAUUAACCUGGUAAGAUGAGGGCAUUCAAGUAAAUGCAUACAAAAUUUUAGUUCAAGUAACAGGUCGCUUGUUUGAUAGGGGUGUCGGAAUAAUUCUGCAAAAACUUUAAUUUGAGGGUAAUUAGAUUAAACCUCAAGGGAGGUGAGAGUAAUUUACCCUAAAUUGAAUCUUUUUAUUUUAAGUGACGCAGAAGAUGUAUAUGUGUUAAGUGCCAAGUAUAUUUAAAUGUGGCAUUAAACUAUUAGCAUUUCAAUUUGGAUCAAUUUUUGGCUUUGGGUUUCCCAAGUGACGGUCAUUGUCAUUCCUUAAUUUCACCUUCCAGGUUCAGGUUUUUAACUAUAAACUUAAAGCAGUACAUAAUAUUCUCUAUGCUAUACAAUUCUUCUGCAUGUUUUGUCUGGUAAGUUGAGCAUUCGGCUUUAUUUAUGUCUUCGUUAAAUCAUCUGCCAUGUAGGUCUUUGUAUAUAUAGAUUUAUGUAUGGAAAAUCUUUAGAUAAGCUCAAAGACCAGUUACCCUUGAUUGAAAUUGGUUGUUACAGCUUUGUAUCUGGAGAGCUGACAGGUUGCAGAUCAGAAGUGGAACCUUGGGCAAUGGAGUUGGUGGUGUACCCAGUUGAUGAACAUUUUUUGGUUGAAUUGUUUCAUGAGUGUGCAUUUUGGUUUUAAAGAACAUACAAUGUGAAUAGCAAUCAUACUCUUUGGAUGUCUUUUAUGUUCCAUGGAAUUUCUGAAUCCUCUCUCUUGUAUAUAAAUACUUGAGCAUUCCACAUUUACUUUGUGGUUUAUGGGGGUCUAAACUUGAUCAUCUUCAUAUAUGGCAAUGCACGACAGUUACUGUUGUGGAGUUGUAUCAAAUAGUGGUCCUCCUAAUUGCCAUUUCCUUGUCUGUGAACUCCAAAAGGCAUUAGGAGACAUGUUGCUGUGUCUCCUCUGUUUCCACGGCGUUCCUUCUCAUGCAUUGUGGUAAAUCCAUGUUUCUUGGAUGUGUUAAGAGUACAUGUGGACGACGAGUUGCAAGUCAACACCUCAAAUGUGGAGGUCUAUGUAUCAUCAUCGUGGUUUAUGAAUGUUGUUUUGAUUUCUCACUAUUAUAUAUUGGGAAAUCACAAGACUCACUCUCUCAUUGAGCUUAACAGUUGUUGCUGAGUUGUUUUGGUGUCCGCCCAUUCCAUUUUUGGCCAUUCAUUAUUUGCCACAAAGCUUGACGUGCUGUACAAUAGUGGAAGCGUCCAGUACCAAAUCGAAAUGUACAACGAGUGCUAGUUUUUUUAACCAUGGGCUUCUUGAGACACAGAUUUAAGUAGAUCUCACAACUUGACGCCUCCGGGCCUUGAGGGAUUGGAUCUGGUUCUGAUAUUAACUGUAACGGGUCAAGUGUUUCGCGAUCUGAUCCAAAAACUUAAUCUAUUAGGUAAGGUUAAUACUUAAUCCAUAUAUACUCAUUAACUUGACCAUUCAAAUCCAACUUGGGAUAUAUGUAAUAGCUCCCCUCUAGAAAGAAAGUACCAUUUACAGUAAAUAAAUACCCUAUGUACUUCUUACAGAAAAUAACCUAACAUGUGGAACGCAUUUAAGAUAUGAAUUAAAGUGUAUUUUGCUUAAA